rnacentral:rRNA from 1 species
CCUACGGGUGGCAGCAGUGAGGAAUAUUGGUCAAUGGACGCAAGUCUGAACCAGCCAAGUAGCGUGCAGGAUGACUGCUCUAUGGGUUGUAAACUUCUUUUAUAAAGGGGUAAAGCGCGAUACGUGUGUCGUGUUGAAAGUAUCUUACGAAUAAGGAUCGGCUAACUCCGUGCCAGCAGCCGCGGUAAUACGGAGGAUCCGAGCGUUAAUCGGAAUUAUUGGGCUUAAAGCGAGCGUAGGCGGUAUGACAAGUCAGGUGUGAAAUGCUACGGCUCAACCGUGGAAUUGCAUUUGAUACUGUCAAACUGGAGUACGGGAGAGGGCGGCGGAAUUCGUGGUGUAGGAGUGAAAUGCGUAGAUAUCAGGAGGAACCUCAGUGGCGAAGGCAGCCGACUGG